rnacentral:rRNA from 1 species
GUGAGGAAUAUUGCGCAAUGGAGGCAACUCUGACGCAGCCAUGUCGCGUGCAGGAAGAAGGCGCUACGCGUUGUAAACUGCUUUUAACCGGGAAGAAACCCCAGGACGUGUCCUGGGUUGACGGUACCGGAGGAAUAAGCACCGGCUAACUUCGUGCCAGCAGCCGCGGUAAUACGAAGGGUGCAAGCGUUAUCCGGAUUCAUUGGGUUUAAAGGGUGCGUAGGCGGAGCGUUAAGUCAGUGGUGAAAUCCUGCAGCUUAACUGUAGACUUGCCAUUGAUACUGGCGCUCUUGAGUGCGCUUGAAGUGGGCGGAAUGUGCCGUGUAGUGGUGAAAUGCUUAGAUAUGGCACAGAACACCAAUUGCGAAGGCAGCUCACUAAGGCGAUACUGACGCUGAGGCACGAAAGCGUGGGGAUCGAACAGGAUUAGAAACCCCUGUAGUCC